GCAAAGAUGAAGCUUCCGCUGGACAUUGAAAAUGGGACAACCAGUUCUGAUAAUUCGAGUUCAGAUCAGACAUCGCAGACGCCCAAGAGCACUAGCUCAAGGGUGUUCUAUGGCAGCAGAGCUUUCUUCUAAGCUUUUGUGAAUGGUUCUCGAAUAACUUAUAGCGCGAUUAGGAGCAAGUCUAAAAGGAUAAGUGAACACUAAGGAUUUUAUGAAUGUGGUGUUUAUCCAUUUUAUCUUGUGAAUGCUUAAAAUGCUCUGAACUAAUUAACUUUUUGUCUGUUGAAGACUUGUUUUACUUCAGUACCUUGUAGUUAAUUAGAACUUCUGUUCUUA
rnacentral:misc_RNA from 1 species